rnacentral:tRNA from 1 species
GGGUUUGUAGCUCAGCUGGUUAGAGCACACGCUUGAUAAGCGUGGGUCGGAGGUUCAAGUCCCUCCCACGACCCACCA